rnacentral:sRNA from 1 species
UAAUUGAAUAAUUUAACGAUUUCCCUUUCCUAUUUGAUAUUGAUUAGCUCACCAAUCCAUAUGUAUAUGUAAUGGAACUCUAUUCACUUUUCUGAUUGAUAUAUAAAAUAAUAGAAUUAGGAAAUCCUCUAUUUACUAUUCACUGAAUAAUAACUUUUUUGUUGACAAAAGAAUAAAGAUCAUUUCUAUUCCAAGGUGGGGAGUUUUAUUUUCCCCAUCGACCUA